GGCCCAGGCAUGAGAUCAGAGUCACAACAUGUAGGUGCUGGGCCAAGUGAUAUGUCACAAUGCCCACUGUAGACAGGUUCCAGGAAGAAAAAGAGCAUCACAUCAUCUAGGUGAUAAACCCUGAGAUAUCUCACAAUGACCCCUUUGUGCAGAGAUCACAAAGAAGAAUCAUAUAACCUGUGUGCUGGAUCCAGUGGUAUGAAAGUCAACACCUGUAUUUUGGGUCUAAGUACAUGAGACACAAUGGUGGACAAUCUAUACUGAGAGCCUCAAUUCUUCCUGUAGACAGUGUCUCCUCAGUGGAGUAAAAGCCUCACGGUGUGCUGAAUCUUGGUCUGAGAGUCGCCAACCCACUGGUGGACCGGAUCCACUUACAAGAGUCAAUGUUCAAACUUUCAACUGUCUCCAGCUGUGAGAUUCAGAACCUCAACAGUCACUUUACAACCUCGGAGAGGUCAUUUAACGCCUCUGUACCUCAGUUUCUUCAUCUGCACAAUGGAGAUGAUGUCCCAGACUUUGCAGCACUAUUUUGAAGGUCAGAGAUAAUGGGUAUCAGCACUGCGCCUGGGACAUGGUAGGAACUAAGUGUGACACUCUACGCCUCUCCCCAGUCCUCAGGAGCCUCAUCUACUGCUGCAUAUUAAGAUUCCCCACCCACGGCCGGGUGUGGUGGCUCACACCUGUAAUCCCAGCGCUUUGGGAGGCCAAGGUGGGAGGAUCACCGGAGGUCAGGAGUUCGAGACCAGCCUGGCCAACAUGGUGAAACCCCAUCUCUACUAAAAAUACAAAAAUUAGCCAGGUGUGCUAGCACAUGCCUGUAAUCCCAGCUACUCAGGAGACUGAGGCAGGAGAAUCGCUUGAACCCAGGAGGCGAAGGUUGCAGUGAGCUGAGAUCACGCCAUCGCACACCAGCCUGGGGAACAAGAGCAAGACUUUGUCUCAAACAAUAAUAAUAAUAAUGAUUCCCCACCCUGAUGCCUUAUGGGAAGCGGAGAGGGAGGAGAAUGAAUACUUGUUGGGUGGACCAGGCCUGCCAGAAUCAGGGUUUGCUGGCUAUGCUCUGCCUUACUUCACGUGGUCACAAUCCCAUGAGAUCCACGCUGUUAACUCCACUGGACAAAGAAGACACUGGGACCUAGGGCAAACAGAACAUUGAAACAGAGCAUUGAAAUGUCUGAAACUGAAACUAACAACAUGGAGCAAAACUUUGUGCAAAAAGAUGUUCACCAUGCCCUUGUUUAUAAGGGUUAUCAUUUGAAAAAUGCUCAAAUGUCCAAUUAUAAAGAAAUGGUAAGUAAAAUAUGACAUAACUUCUAGAUGAAGUAACUAAUAUUAAUAGUUUUUAAAAAAUCAAGCUCAGCAAAAAG